UACAGAGGGGGCAAGCGUUGUUCGGAAUUACUGGGCGUAAAGGGCGCGUAGGCGGCCUUCUAAGUCGAACGUGAAAUCCCCGGGCUCAACCCGGGAACUGCGUCCGAUACUGGAAGGCUUGAAUCCGGGAGAGGGAUGUGGAAUUCCAGGUGUAGCGGUGAAAUGCGUAGAUAUCUGGAGGAACACCGGUGGCGAAGGCAGCUCGCUGGGACGGUACUGACGCUGAGACGCGAAAGCGUGGGGAGCAAACAGG
rnacentral:rRNA from 1 species